rnacentral:rRNA from 1 species
AUUGAACGCUGGCGGCAGGCCUAACACAUGCAAGUCGAGCGGAUGAAGGGAGCUUGCUCCUGGAUUCAGCGGCGGACGGGUGAGUAAUGCCUAGGAAUCUGCCUGGUAGUGGGGGAUAACGUCCGGAAACGGGCGCUAAUACCGCAUACGUCCUGAGGGAGAAAGUGGGGGAUCUUCGGACCUCACGCUAUCAGAUGAGCCUAGGUCGGAUUAGCUAGUUGGUGGGGUAAAGGCCUACCAAGGCGACGAUCCGUAACUGGUCUGAGAGGAUGAUCAGUCACACUGGAACUGAGACACGGUCCAGACUCCUACGGGAGGCAGCAGUGGGGAAUAAUGGACAAUGGGCGGAAGCCUGAUCCAGCCAUGCCGCGUGUGUGAAGAAGGUCUUCGGAUUGUAAAGCACUUUAAGUUGGGAGGAAGGGCAGUAAGUUAAUACCUUGCUGUUUUGACGUUACCAACAGAAUAAGCACCGGCUAACUUCGUG